rnacentral:misc_RNA from 1 species
AAGUCGUAACAAGGUCUCCGUAGGUGAACCUGCGGAAGGAUCAUUAACACGUAUCCAACGUUAAACCCCCCCCGUGAACGUACAAUCUGUUGGUUCUCCGGUUACGCGAAACAAUGGUUGCAAUCCCUGGUAAAUCAUUGCCGAACAGUUUUGAUUCAGGGACUUCUGCGUAGACUGUGCUUGAGCGUGAGGCAAGUGGCCUGGCAUUCCUCUGCUUGUUGGUGUCUGAAAGUGUCACCAGCUCUGUACGAAUGGCGCAGUCACGAUCGCUAGAGGCCGACACGGCCGGCGACCGGGUCACUGGGCGCGAGCCCCCCUCGUCACCUUUGCAUGAAAACGGGCCUGCGCUUAAUUGUGCGGCCACCAAACUCGAACAACUGUUAACAAUGGAUAUCUUGGUUCUC